UCCUGGCUCAGAUUGAACGCUGGCGGCAUGCUUUACACAUGCAAGUCGAACGGUAACAGGGAGCUUGCUCCGCUGACGAGUGGCGAACGGGUGAGUAAUAUAUCGGAACGUACCCAAGAGUGGGGGAUAACGUAGCGAAAGUUACGCUAAUACCGCAUACGAUCCAAGGAUGAAAGCAGGGGAUCUUCGGACCUUGUGCUCCUGGAGCGGCCGAUAUCUGAUUAGCUAGUUGGUGAGGUAAUGGCUCACCAAGGCGACGAUCAGUAGCUGGUCUGAGAGGACGACCAGCCACACUGGAACUGAGACACGGUCCAGACUCCUACGGGAGGCAGCAGUGGGGAAUUUUGGACAAUGGGCGCAAGCCUGAUCCAGCAAUGCCGCGUGAGUGAAGAAGGCCUUCGGGUUGUAAAGCUCUUUUGUCAGGGAAGAAACGGGAGUGGCUAAUAUCCAUUCCUAAUGACGGUACCUGAAGAAUAAGCACCGGCUAACUACGUGCCAGCAGCCGCGGUAAUACGUAGGGUGCAAGCGUUAAUCGGAAUUACUGGGCGUAAAGCGUGCGCAGGCGGUUUUGUAAGUCUGACGUGAAWUCCCCGGGCUCAACCUGGGAAUUGCGUUGGAGACUGCAAGGCUAGAAUCUGGCAGAGGGGGGUAGAAUUCCACGUGUAGCAGUGAAAUGCGUAGAGAUGUGGAGGAACACCGAUGGCGAAGGCAGCCCCCUGGGUCAAGAUUGACGCUCAUGCACGAAAGCGUGGGGAGCAAACAGGAUUAGAUACCCUGGUAGUCCACGCCCUAAACGAUGUCUACUAGUUGUCGGGUUUUAAUUAACUUGGUAACGCAGCUAACGCGUGAAGUAGACCGCCUGGGGAGUACGGUCGCAAGAUUAAAACUCAAAGGAAUUGACGGGGACCCGCACAAGCGGUGGAUGAUGUGGAUUAAUUC
rnacentral:rRNA from 1 species